UACAAUAAAAAUCAAGAAGUAUUGAUCCUCAAGCCAAUGGCCUACACAAAAAAAAGUUCUUUGGUCGUGAUGGUUUUGGUGUUGUAUAUUUGCAUGAUAUGUAUUCCGAUUUUAGGUAUGACAUCAUUCCUCUAUUUUUGCGUAUUUUUGAAAAAUUUACUAUAAAGCAUGAUAUAAUUAAAACAUCUAUAUUGAAUUUUCAUCUAUACAGCUCUUGGCCCAGCAUGUUUUGGACGGUGUGACGCAAUCAGCAUCGAUUGCUUACAGCUUUGCCAAGAACUAGCUUUUGUUAUAGGUUCAUGCGAAGCAGGGCCUUCAUCUCAGUGUUGUUGUCAUGAUUAAAUUACUAUUGUGUUAAUAUCCACUUGUAAGGAAUAUAUAUUCCGUAAACCAUCAAAUAAUGG
rnacentral:lncRNA from 1 species